rnacentral:rRNA from 1 species
GAUGAACGCUGGCGGCGUGCCUAAUACAUGCAAGUCGAGCGAACAGACGAGGAGCUUGCUCCUCUGACGUUAGCGGCGGACGUGUGAGUAACACGUGGAUAACCUACCUAUAAGACUGGGAUAACUUCGGGAAACCGGAGCUAAUACCGGAUAAUAUCUUGAACCGCAUGGUUCAAUUGUGAAAGACGGUUUUGCUGUCACUUAUAGAUGGAUCAGCGCCGCAUUAGCUAGUUGGUAAGGUAACGGCUUACCAAGGCAACGAUGCGUAGCCGACCUGAGAGGGUGACCGGCCACACUGGAACUGAGACACGGUCCAGACUCCUACGGGAGGCAGCAGUAGGGAAUCUUCCGCAAAGGGCGAAAGCCUGACGGAGCAACGCCGCGUGAGCGAUGAAGGUCUUCGGAUCGUAAAACUCUGUUAUUAGGGAAGAACAAAUGUGUAAGUAACUAUGCACGUCUUGACGGUACCUAAUCAGAAAGCCACGGCUAACUACGUG